GAUGAACGCUAGCGGGAGGCCUAACACAUGCAAGCCGAGCGGUAGAGUUCCUUCGGGAACUUGAGAGCGGCGUACGGGUGCGUAACACGUGUGCAACCUACCUUUAUCUGGGGGAUAGCCUUUCGAAAGGAAGAUUAAUACCCCAUAAUAUAUUGAAUGGCAUCAUUUAAUAUUGAAAACUCUGGUGGAUAGAGAUGGGCACGCGCAAGAUUAGAUAGUUGGUGAGGUAACGGCUCACCAAGUCUGUGAUCUUUAGGGGUCCUGAGAGGGAAAUCCGCCAGACUGGUACUGUGAGACGGACCAGACUGCUACGGGAGGCAGCAGUGAGGAAAAUUGGAGGAUGGGUGAAAGCCUGAUCCAGCCAUCCGGCGUGAAGGAUGACGGUCCUAUGGAUUGUAAACGUAUUUUGUAAAGGAAUAAACCUAUUUACGUGUAAAUAGCAGAAGGUACUGUACGAAUAAGCACCGGCUAACUCCGUGCCAGCCGCCGCCGUAA
rnacentral:rRNA from 1 species